AUUGAACGCUGGCGGCAGGCCUAACACAUGCAAGUCGAGCGGAUGAAGGGAGCUUGCUCCUGGAUUCAGCGGCGGACGGGUGAGUAAUGCCUAGGAAUCUGCCUGGUAGUGGGGGAUAACGUCCGGAAACGGGCGCUAAUACCGCAUACGUCCUGAGGGAGAAAGUGGGGGAUCUUCGGACCUCACGCUAUCAGAUGAGCCUAGGUCGGGUUAGCUAGUUGGUGGGGUAAAGGCCUACCAAGGCGACGCUCCGUAACUGGUCUGAGAGGAUGAUCAGUCACACUGGAACUGAGACACGGUCCAGACUCCUACGGGAGGCAGCAGUGGGGAAUAUUGGACAAUGGGCGAAAGCCUGAUCCAGCCAUGCCGCGUGUGUGAAGAAGGUCUUCGGAUUGUAAAGCACUUUAAGUUGGGAGGAAGGGCAGUAAGUUAAUACCUUGCUGUUUUGACGUUACCAACAGAAUAAGCACCGGCUAACUUCGU
rnacentral:rRNA from 1 species